rnacentral:snRNA from 1 species
AGAUAUGAGUGUGACCUGUUUGCAAAAUCUGCAACCCCACUGAUUGCCAGUUUGAUUUGGCUUAUUCAGCUACCUAAGUUGGUGUCCUUUCCCUCCCUCACUGUUCCAUGUAUGUCUCUUCCAAAGAUGCAUGCUUGGUAGGUUAAAGAGGAUGGUCAUUUGCCAGCCAAGGGUACUAGAGUUGCUGUACUCCACUGCUGGAACUACCAAACAAGUUCUCCAAAAGUAAGAGCCUGGCCUGGUGUCAUCUCAGAACUUGGGACACUGAGGAAGAAACUGCCACAAGUGUGAGGGCAACUUGUUC